rnacentral:rRNA from 1 species
CCGUACGAGCGCACCCCUAUCCCUAGUUGCUAGCAGUUCGGGCUGAGAACUCUAGGGAGACUGCCGGUGACAAACCGGAGGAAGGUGGGGAUGACGUCAGGUCAUCAUGGCCCUUACGGCCAGGGCUACACACGUGCUACAAUGGUGCGCACAGAGGGCUGCAAACCCGCGAGGGGGAGCUAAUCUCACAAAACGCAUCGUAGUCCGGAUCGGAGUCUGCAACUCGACUCCGUGAAGUCGGAAUCGCUAGUAAUCGUGAAUCAGAAUGUCACGGUGAAUACGUUCCCGGGCCUUGUACACACCGCCCGUCACACCAUGGGAGUGGAUUGCACCAGAAGUAGUUAGUCUAGCCUUCGGGAGGACGAUUACCACGGUGUGGUUCAUGACUGGGGUGAAGUCGUAACAAGGUAGCCGUAGGGGAACCUGCGGCUGGAUCACCUCCUU